rnacentral:rRNA from 1 species
GACGAACCGUCCAAACGUUGUUCGGAAUCACUGGGCUUAAAGGGCGCGUAGGCGGGUUCCCAAGUCGGUGGUGAAAUCUUUCGGCCCGAACCGGAAAACAGCCGCCGAUACUGGGGACCUCGAGGGAGGUAGGGGUCGAGGGAACUUCCGGGUGGAGCGGUGAAAUGCGUAGAUAUCGGAAGGAACGCCGGUGGCGAAAGCGCUCGACGUGGACCUCUUCUGACGCUGAGGC